AUGAUAAUAAUAUUACGUUCCUGAGUAAGGAAAUGUUUAUGGUACUCCCGAAUCUAACAAAUCUGUAUAUAGGAGGAAACCCAUUUGAUUGUACGUGCGAUUUAGAGCCGUUUACAGUGUUUAUGAAGAGAAAGAAAAUGCUGCCCUAUAAUUCAUGGGCUGAAGAACCUAAGUGCAACUCCCCAAGUCAUUUAAAUGGAGAACAGAUAAUUGACGUUCCAUUCCAUAAAAUGAGCUGUAGUACACAAUAUG